CUUCAAGCUUGGCGAGCCUCUCCCGACUCUUCCACUUCAUCUUCUCCAAUCUCUAUCUUUUGUUUUUGCGUUAUCUUCUCCUUCCUCGCUUCUCUCCCAUGAGAAGCCUCUGUCUUUCCUCUCGAUGUCCCUCUCCGUCUCCGAAGCUGCCGCUCCUCCUCCUUUGGCUUCAGCUAUUCCUUUGCCUUUUAUAUCUUCCCUCGGAGAUUUGAUCUACCGCUUCCGUCGACAGUAGAAGAUAAGAACUGUCAGGAGAAAGAUGAAGAUCAGAAUUCCGCCGGCGGCGCUUCCAGCGAUGAUUCCGAUUAGUUUCCCUGUGAUCACAGAUCUUCUUUAUUUUUUUCUUAUCCACCAAUUUCUUGGCAAUUUAGGAAUUCAGAAACAGAAUAUUUCUUAUGGCUAUUUGUUCACCAAUUUGGGAGGUCAGCCAUUUGGUCAAGUCCCAGUUUUACUAGACGGACAUCUAAAGUUGACUGAAUCCCGAGCCAUAUCACUAUACAUCGAGAGUGCUCAUAGACAUUUAUUUUCCUCAAACUUUCCCUAAUGACAACUUUGCAGCCUCAUUUAUCCUGAAGACAGGCAGCUCAGAAUGUAAAAAUUGAGGUCAACUGAUGGGCGUCCAUAUGCUGCUGCUAGAUUCCAAGUUUUGCAAAGAGAUUUCCGAAAACCCAAUUCACUCUGCUCCAGUUGCAACCAAAGGCAUAAGCGUCAAUGAACCUGUAAUAUGGAUGGUUUUGGGAGAGGUGAUGCCCGACCGAAGCGUUGUUGGUUGGAUUCUUAGGGAUGUGAAGGGAGAAAUGAAGUGUCUUAGAGGAGCCCCAUCUGUUUCGAGGUCCUUUACUGACUUGUGAGAUGAAGCAGAAGCAUUGAUAUGAUAUGGAGUGUUAUUUGUAUACUUGGGCUAUAAGAAAUUCAGCAUUUUACCACCUUGGCUCUGACCAAUGUGAAGUUAGAGGUCAGCUGUUUCAAGGAAAGUGACGUCUCAUAGUUCAAUUUAUACUUUUGUUGAUUUUGGUGGAACGAAUGGUGUUAUUUUAAUAAUGCCGAGAUCUGUUUGAUGAAUUUCUAGGAGGCUAGGAACACUGUCAAACAAGAGGGAGCCAUUUACAAGAUCAGUGGCUUUGAUGUUGCAAGAAGCAACACCCACUUUAAACUCUCUACAACGAUGUGUCUUAGUGUUUUUUGACGAACUGUGUCAUGCAUCUUUUCUUUGAUCGCCAUCACGUCCAUGUGCAGCAACAUUUGCAAAUCAUGGAGGGAACGAUUUUCCUGGAGAUAAAACGCCUGGUGUCAAAUAUCUUCCCUGCAGCUGCUCUGAUGGAGAAAGGUCAAAUGGUAAUGACCAGAGCAACGAAAGUGUGUAAACCCCUCGAACCUGUCGAGCCCAUCCGGUGGAGCAGCUACAGUUGCAGAAUACAAUUGUGAGCAGACUAUCAUGAUGAAGACCCGGUUCAAGUUGCAAGAAACACACUAAAGAAGGCACUCACCGAGUAAUUGCUAAGGCUAUCGAACUUGAGACCUCACUAUUUCCCUUUUGCUUCAUUGCAGUAUUGUUUAUAAAAAAAGAAAUUCAUAGUUUGUUUUGUUUCAUGGACCAUGUUUGCAACUUCUACCACAAUUAAAACUUAUUAUUACUUAUUACAUUCACGUGUU